rnacentral:rRNA from 1 species
UACAGAGGGGGCAAGCGUUGUUCGGAAUUACUGGGCGUAAAGGGCGCGUAGGCGGCCUUCUAAGUCGAACGUGAAAUCCCCGGGCUCAACCCGGGAACUGCGUCCGAUACUGGAAGGCUUGAAUCCGGGAGAGGGAUGCGGAAUUCCAGGUGUAGCGGUGAAAUGCGCAGAUAUCAGGAGGAACACCGGUGGCGAAGGCGGUUCUCUGGGCAUUACCUGACGCUGAGGAGCGAAAGUGUGGGGAGCGAACAGG